GACGAACGCUGGCGGCGUGCUUAACACAUGCAAGUCGAACGGUAAGGCCUUCGGGUACACGAGUGGCGAACGGGUGAGUAACACGUGGGUGAUCUGCCCCCUACUCUGGGAUAAGCCUGGGAAACUGGGUCUAAUACCGGAUAUGACCUCCUUCUGCAUGGUUGGUGGUGGAAAGUUUUUUCGGUAGGGGAUGAGCCCGCGGCCUAUCAGCUUGUUGGUGGGGUAAUGGCCUACCAAGGCGACGACGGGUAGCCGGCCUGAGAGGGCGACCGGCCACACUGGGACUGAGACACGGCCCAGACUCCUACGGGAGGCAGCAGUGGGGAAUAUUGCACAAUGGGCGAAAGCCUGAUGCAGCGACGCCGCGUGGGGGAUGACGGCCUUCGGGUUGUAAACCCCUUUCAGUCGGGACGAAGCGAGAGUGACGGUACCGAUAGAAGAAGCACCGGCCAACUACGUGCCAGCCGCCGCAGUAAAAC
rnacentral:rRNA from 1 species